rnacentral:rRNA from 1 species
CCCCUAGAUGUUCUGGGCCGCACGCGCGCUACACUGAACAGUUCAACAAGUCUUAACCUUGGCCGAUAGGUCUGGGUAAUCUUUGAACGCUGUUCGUGAUUGGGAUAGACCUUUGCAAUUAUGGGUCUUCAACGAGGAAUUCCUAGUAAACGCAAGUCAUCAGCUUGCAUUGAUUACGUCCCUGCCCUUUGUACACACCGCCCGUCGCACCUACCGAUUGAAUGGUCCGGUGAAAUCUCGGGACGGCGGCUUGGUCGCUUGCGUCCGACUGCUGAAACUUGAUUAAACCAAAGCAUUUAGAGGAAGGUGAAGUCGUAACA